rnacentral:rRNA from 1 species
GACGAGGGGUCCUAGCGUUGUUCGGAAUCAUUGGGCGUAAAGGGUGUGUAGGUGGCGCCGUUAGUCGGGUGUGAAAUUUCGGAGCUUAACUCCGAAACUGCAUUCGAUACUGCGGUGCUUGAGGACUGGAGAGGAGACUGGAAUUCAUGGUGUAGCAGUGAAAUGCGUAGAGAUCAUGAGGAAGACCAGUGGCGAAGGCGGGUCUCUGGACAGUUCCUGACACUGAGACACGAAGGCCAGGGGAGCAAACGGG